rnacentral:rRNA from 1 species
UACGUAGGAUGCAAGCGUUGUCCGGAAUUACUGGGCGUAAAGGGCGCGUAGGCGGCCACUCAAGUCAGAUGUGAAAUAGCCCGGCUUAACCGGGAGGGGUCAUUUGAAACUGAGUAGCUAGAGUGCAGGAGAGGCUAGCGGAAUUCCCGGUGUAGUGGUGAAAUGCGUAGAUAUCGGGAGGAACACCAGUGGCGAAGGCGGCUAGCUGGCCUGUAACUGACGCUGAGGCGCGAAGGCUAGGGGAGCGAACAGG